AUCAAAAUAGAAACACGAUAGGACCCUGCAACCAACCGCAGUAGACCACUACCGCGCAGCUUUAAACACUCCUCGUGAUUCGUAAAGCUAACUCUGCUUAAUACGUCAUCGUUUUGCAUAAAACGAAUCAGAUAAACGACGUCGUUUAAAUCCACUGAGUGAAAAAAAGUGUAAAAUAGUUUUCUCGUUUGAAAAUUGCGCAGAGAGAAAACGAAGGGAAAUAGCAGAGAAAAGAGAUAGAAAGAAAGAAGAAAAAAAUAGAGAGAGAAAAAAUAUGAAAAUAAAUUGUUCUAUAUGUAAUUGUGGUGUGUUCUUCUUUUGAGAGUGAAAAAAUUCAAUUUGCUUAAUAGAAAGUGUUGCUAAAGGAAAUAGAGAAAAAAAAAAGAGGGGUAACAUUGGAUUUGGAGAUGCAAACGGAGGCUAGGGUUGGUGUGGCCGUGGACGGUGGUGUACGGAAGUUGGUUCAACAACAACCGCCGCCGCAACAGAUUGGGACUUUAUCUCAACUUCUCGCCGGAGGAGUUGCCGGUGCUCUUAGUAAAACAUGUACGGCGCCACUUGCGAGACUCACCAUCCUCUUUCAGGUUCAGGGGAUGCAUUCCAAUGUUGCAACUUUGAGAAAAGCUAGUAUAUGGAACGAGGCUUCACGAAUAAUACAUGAAGAGGGAUUUAGGGCCUUCUGGAAAGGGAAUCUGGUUACAAUUGCCCACCGUUUACCCUAUUCUUCUGUUAACUUUUAUUCCUACGAGCAUUACAAGAAGUUUCUGAGGACAGUUCCGAGACUGCAAAGUCAUAAGGAUAGUGCUAGUGCAGACCUUUGCAUACAUUUUGUUGGUGGUGGGAUGGCAGGAAUAACUGCUGCUGCAUCUACUUAUCCAUUGGAUCUUGUAAGAACGCGGCUUGCUGCGCAGACGAAUUUUGCCUACUAUAGAGGUAUUGGACAUGCUUUACAAACAAUUAUCAAGGAAGAGGGAAUACUUGGGCUUUAUAAGGGACUAGGAACUACACUCUUGACUGUUGGGCCAAAUAUAGCAAUCAGCUUCUCUGUAUAUGAAAGCUUGAGAUCAUUUUGGAUGUCAAACAGAUCCGAUGAUUCAACUGUUGUUGUUAGUCUUGCUUGUGGCAGUCUUUCAGGCAUUGCAUCAUCAACAGAGAAUGAGUUUGGUGCAGGAACUGCACCAAGUAUCUUAACCAGAGACCAGGCUGGAGUUGUAAUUUUAUCUGGCAUUUGAGAAUUUAGUAUGGAAGACAACAAAAGGACACUUUUCCUGUUUCUCAGUAAAUUUAUUAUUGUUGAAAGAUCUUGCUGAAGUAAUCAUCUUUCCAAGUUUUAUUUUAUGACAUGUCUCCCCAAGGUAUGCAGUGGAUUCCGUCAUGGGGUGUCAUUACUUGGAUGAACCUAUAUCAUUCCCUCGGUUACCAAAUGUGAGAGGUGUCCUCUUUGAGCAACAUUUCCCUUGGAUCUUGUGAGAAGGAGGAAGCAACUUGAGGGUGCCGGUGGGCGAGCCCGUGUGUACAAUACAGGUAUCUUUGGUAUGUUCAAGCACAUAAUCCGGACUGAAGGUUUCCGUGGCCUAUACAGAGGAAUUUUGCCUGAAUACUAUAAGGUGGUGCCUGGUGUAGGCAUUUGUUUUAUGACUUAUGAGACACUAAAGAUGGUUUUAGCGGAAAUUACUACUGCAUGAUUACACCCAUCAACUUUGGAGUCUGAUCUACAAGUAAAAUGUCUGAAGUCACAUACUCAUGCAAAAGGGUUAGAGUUAACAUUUAUCGAUUAUUCUAUUUCAUAGGUUCUCAUGGUUGGGCAACUUUGUAGUGCUACUGUGGGGAUCACAUUUUUGCCUGUACAGAAACUUGCAACAUUUAAUAUUUUAUGGUGUUCUGGGUCUUGAAUCUUGAAGGCUUUUAAACUUUUGUGCACUCUAUCAAACAAAAACGGAAGUCGAUAAACUUUAUAGCAAGGCUGCAACUCAAUGUGCCUUAAGGAGACAGCUUUUUGCAAGUGCAUUUGAAGGCAUCCAGUCCCAUUGCAGUGUUGUGAAACAGUGUCUUAUUUUGAGAGGCGACCCAUUCUUCCUAUAGUAAUGAUAGUUACAUUACAUGAACACUUUUGGAAUCCUUUAUUUUUGUCAUCUUUUAGAAUAUUAAUUGUAGUCCAUUGUUUUACAUUUGUCCCGUAGUAAAUGAUUAAUUCAUUCUCAAUGACUCUGGAAUUGUUAUAGGGUCAUUUUGAAUAUUAUUUAAAAAAGUUGUCAAUUUAUAUGGAAUAUUUUCUGUCUUGACUAAAUUCUUCAAAUAGGUCACAUGUUAUUACAAAAA